rnacentral:misc_RNA from 1 species
AACCUUAUGGACCUGCGGGCGUAUACCUGCGGAGGGAUCAUUAUAGAGUUGUCAAACUCCCAAACCCAUGUGAACAUACCUAUUGUUGCCUCGGCAGGUCGCAGCCUACCCGGUAAACCCCCUACUCUGGGAGACCUUACCUGGGAGGACGCGGGUACGCCUGCCGAUGGCCCGCUAAACUCUGUUUAAACUUUGGAAAUCUGAUUUAAAACAAAAUACGUUAAAACUUUUAACAAUGGA